rnacentral:rRNA from 1 species
CCUACGGGAGGCAGCAGUGAGGAAUAUUGGUCAAUGGGCGAGAGUCUGAACCAGCCAAGUAGCGUGAAGGAUGACUGCCCUAUGGGUUGUAAACUUCUUUUAUAAAGGAAUAAAACGAGGCACGUGUGCCUUUUUGCAUGUACUUUAUGAAUAAGGAUCGGCUAACUCCGUGCCAGCAGCCGCGGUAAUACGGAGGAUCCGAGCGUUAUCCGGAUUUAUUGGGUUUAAAGGGAGCGUAGAUGGGUUGUUAAGUCAGUGGUGAAAGGUUGCGGCUCAACCGUAAAAUUGCAAUUGAUACUGGCAGUCUUGAGUACAGUUGAGGUAGGCGGAAUUCGUGGUGUAGCGGUGAAAUGCUUAGAUAUCACGAAGAACCCCGAUUGCGAAGGCAGCUUACUAAACUGUGACUGACAUUGAUGCUCGAAAGUGUGGGUAUCAAACAGGAUUAGAUACCCUAGUAGUC